AACCGCGUUUCCGGCGAGACCUGGGUGCUGUGUCCCGCGGCUUGCCCUCCAUUGUGCACCCUGCGGGCCUUCGGGAGAUGCAGGCCUGGGUCGUCUCCUUUCUGGACUGAGAAGAGAAGAAUGGAGAAGCCCCUCUUCCCAUUAGUGCCUUUGCAUUGGUUUGGCUUUGGCUACACAGCGCUGGUUGUUUCUGGUGGGAUCGUUGGCUAUGUAAAAACAGGUAGGGUUUUGUUGUUACUUAGCCUCUUAACAUCUUCACGUUGUUCCAGUGAAAUGUGAGUGUCCGUGUCCCUGAGAAGCAAUCUCGUUUGACUCAGCUUUGCUGUAGGUCCCCAAGCUGGAGUGCAGGCUUCCUUGUCUGUCUUGCAGCUCCUGCCCUUGCCUUUUGGUUGUCUGGUGAAGCUGAGCCAGGCCUCUUGUGGAAUUACUUAAUUUUGCCUCUUUAUCUAAAGGUAGGCAGGGGUGGUUGUAGUUUGUUAUUAUCAUUGACUACCAUUCAUCAGCCAUGACCCCCAAGUGCCAUCUCUGGGCUUAAGUAGGAGGCAACCUCUGGCCUAC
rnacentral:sRNA from 1 species